GUCAACCACCCCGUCCUGAAGGACGGAGCUUGAAAGGAGGUUCGACAAGCUCGGGUUGACCAGGGAGAGCGGUAUCCAACCCGCCACGUUGCGUACAGGUCCAAGACCCACCGGCGAAUGCUUCCUCAGUUCGCCGCUCUGGA
rnacentral:sRNA from 21 species